rnacentral:rRNA from 1 species
UUCGGUGGUGAGCGGCGAACGGGUGAGUACACUUAGGUUAUCUGCCCAUCAGACGGGGACAACGAUUGGAAACGAUCGCUAAUACCGGAUAGGACGAAAGCUUAAAGGUGCUUCGGCACCACUGAUGGAUGAGCCUGCGGCGCAUUAGCUAGUUGGUAGGGUAAAGGCCUACCAAGGCGACGAUGCGUAGCCGACCUGAGAGGGUGAACGGCCACACUGGGACUGAGACACGGCCCAGACUCCUACGGGAGGCAGCAGUAGGGAAUCUUCGGCAAUGGGCGAAAGCCUGACCGAGCAACGCCGCGUGAAUGAUGAAGGCCUUCGGGUUGUAAAAUUCUGUUAUAAGGGAAGAAUGGCUCUAGUAGGAAAUGGCUAGAGUGUGACGGUACCUUAUGAGAAAGCCACGGCUAACUACGUGCCAGCAGCCGCGGUAAUACGUAGGUGGCGAGCGUUAUCCGGAAUUAUUGGGCGUAAAGAGCGCGCAGGUGGUUGAUUAAGUCUGAUGUGAAAGCCCACGGCUUAACCGUGGAGGGUCAUUGGAAACUGGUCAACUUGAGUGCAGAAGAGGGAAGUGGAAUUCCAUGUGUAGCGUUGAAAUGCGUAGAGAUAUGGAGGAACACCAGUGGCGAAGGCGGCUUCCUGGUCUGUAACUGACACUGAGGCGCGAAAGCGUGGGGAGCAAACAGGAUUAGAUACCCUGGUAGUCCACGCCGUAAACGAUGAGUGCUAGUGUUGGGGGUCGAACCUCAGUGCUGAAGUUAACGCAUUAAGCACUCCGCCUGGGGAGUACGGUCGCAAGACUGAAACUCAAA